CCCUGCCAUUUGUACACACCGCCCGUCGCUACUACCGAUUGAAUGGCUUAGUGAGAUCUCCGGAUUGGCUUUGGGAAGCUGGCAACGGCUACCUAUUGCUGAAAAGCUGAUCAAACUUGGUCAUUUAG
rnacentral:rRNA from 1 species